CCUACGGGAGGCAGCAGUGAGGAAUAUUGGUCAAUGGGCGAGAGCCUGAACCAGCCAAGUCGCGUGAAGGAUGACGGCCCUACGGGUUGUAAACUUCUUUUGUCAGGGAGCAAUUGGGUCCACGCGUGGGCUUAGCGAGAGUACCUGAAGAAAAAGCAUCGGCUAACUCCGUGCCAGCAGCCGCGGUAAUACGGAGGAUGCGAGCGUUAUCCGGAUUUAUUGGGUUUAAAGGGUGCGUAGGCGGAAUAUCAAGUCAGCGGUAAAAAUUCGGGACUCAACCCCGUCGUGCCGUUGAAACUGAGGUUCUUGAGGGGGCGAGAAGUAUGCGGAAUGCGUGGGGUAGCGGUGAAAUGCAUAGAUAUCACGCAGAACUCCGAUUGCGAAGGCAGAAUACCGGCGCCCAACUGACGCUGAAGCACGAAAGCGUGGGUAUCGAACAGGAUUAGAUACCCUUGUAGUC
rnacentral:rRNA from 1 species